rnacentral:lncRNA from 13 species
ACCUACUGUAUAUGUAUAGAGUUAAGCCAAUGACCAGGUCAGGACAUGUGGGCCUAUAGGCUUAGUUAGGCAGCAAGUUAGUACCCUGAAUCAAGGCAAAUUUAUUGCCUAACAGUUCUGGAGGUCAAAUGUUAUAACUGGUUGUAACUAGGCUGAAAGCUAGGUGUCAGUAUUGCUGUGUUCCUUCUGGCACCUUUGGGCGGAAUUGGUUCCUUGAAUUUUCCAGUUUUCAGAGGCUGCUUCAUUUCUUGACAACCUGCUGUCUUCUAAAUCAGCAGAGCAGCAUCUUUAGGUCUGUAGUCUCUGAUUCUUCUGACUUGUUCUUCCACUCAUAAAAACUACGGUGAUUACAUUGUGAUCAUAACAUUUGAUGUAAUAACCUAGUAGUUACAUUCUAACAAUAACAUUCCAAUUAUCCAGAAAAAUCUCAUUCUUUUGAGGUCAUCUGAUUCACAUUUUAAAUUACGUAUGCAAUGUUAAUUCCCCUUGCCAUAGUCAUACAACAUAUUUACAGGUUCCAGGAAUGAGCACACGGACAUCUUUGGGGAUUCAGGGACAUUGUUCUGCCUGUCACAGAUGGCACAUAACAGCUUUCUUGUGCUGAGGAACACUAGGCAGCAUUUCAGCACUAUGCUUUGGGCCAAGACCUUGAAAAAAAACAAACAACAACAAAACCACCUGUUUGCAGUACGAUAGCUGAAGCAAGGAGCAUGGGAUGUGCCUUCUCUGGCUUCACCUUUCACUAUGAUUCCAAGCUUCCUAAGGACCUCACCAGAAGCCCAGCAGGUAUUCGUGCCAUGUAUGUACAGCCUACAGAUUAAAUCAUUUUUUCCAUAUAAAAUACCCAGCCUCAGAUAUUUAUGAAUAAUGAUGCAAAAAUGGACUAAUACAGAAAAUCUGUAACAAUAGGGGGUGUUGCUAUAAAGACAUCUUAAGAAGCAGAAGCAGUCUUGGUACAGGGUAAUAGAUAGAGGUUAGGAUAGUUUGCAGUGCUCUGAAAAAGAUAAAAAGAUGAGGGAAAGUUUGGAACUUCUUAGAGACUC